rnacentral:ncRNA from 1 species
UAAAAAUUUAUGAUUUUUAUAAUUUAUUUAUAAUUUAUUUUACAUGUAAAUUUUAGUAUGAUUUUUACAUUAUUUUAAUAAUAAUGAUUUAUUUUGCAGUAAUUAAUAUUAAAAAUUUAAGAAAUUAAGAUUUAGUAAUAUUAAAAUUAUUAACAAAUUUUGUGCCAGCAGUUGCGGUUAUACAAAAAUUAAAAUAAAUUUUUUUAGUUAUAAUAAAUAUAUUUAAUUUAAAUUAAAUUUUAAAUUAUUAAGUGAAAUUUUAAUUUAAUAAAAUUUUAUUUAAGAAAUAUGAUUUAAUAAAUUUAUUAAGAGACUAGGAUUAGAUACCCUAUUAUUAAAAAUUUAAUUUAAAAUACUAAAAUAGUAGAUAAUAUUAUUGAAACUUAAAUAAUUUGGCGGUAUUUUAGUUCAUUUAGAGGAAUCUGUUUAAUAAUUGAUAAUCCACGAAUAAAUUUACUUGAUUUAAUAUUUUGUAUAUCGUUGUUAAAAAAAUAUUUUUAAAUAAAAAUAAUAUUUAAAAAUUAAAAAUAGAAAUUAGUUCAGAUCAAGAUGCAGAUAAUAAUUAAGAAUGUAAUGGAUUACAAUAAAUUUAUUUAAAUGAAUUUUAUUUUUGUAAUAAAUAAUUGAAAUUGGAUUUAAAUGUAAUUUUAUUUAAUUUAAUAAAAUGAUUAAAAAUUAAAAUAUGUACAUAUUGCCCGUCACUUUCAUUUUAAAAUUGGAAUAAGUCGUAACAAAGUAGAGGUACUGGAAAGUGUUUCUAGAAAGAC